UUGGCCCCUCUACUUAGCUCAUGACUCAUCUAAAUCGAGUCACUGAACUUGUCGUUCGCCGUGUGUGUGUCAUCGUCCCGUUUUUCUGAUAUUUUCUGCAAACAUUGGACUGACAUAAUGUCUUGCUGUGCUGUUGAUUGUACUAACAGACCGUCCAAGAAUUCUGUGUUCCAGUUUUUUCGUUUUCCUCUAGGUGAUCCAGAGAGGCUGGACCAGUGGGUGCGCAACAUUAGAAGACAGAACUGGACUCCGAACAAGGCUUCUCGUCUGUGCAGUGACCACUUUGAGAGACAUCACUUCAGCACUGACUUCAGGGACGUUUGAGGAUACGCCUACAACGCAUAGGCCAUAGUGUGAUGUGUUCUCCAUU